GCCCUGGUGGCGAAAUGGUUAAGGGCUUGGCUACUAACCAAAAGGUUGGUGGUUUGAACCCACCCAGUGGCU
rnacentral:tRNA from 1 species